UACGUAGGGUCCAAGCGUUAUCCGGAAUCACUGGGCGUAAAGCGUGCGUAGGUGGCGCGUUAAGUGAGGCGUUAAAUCGUGUGGCUCAACCAUAUCGAUGUGUCUCAUACUGGCGUGCUAGAGGACAGCAGAGGCAAGUGGAACUCGUAGUGUAGCAGUGAAAUGCGUAGAUAUUACGAAGAACACCAAUGGCGAAGGCAGCUUGCUGGGCUACUCCUGACACUGAGGCACGAAAGCCAGGGGAGCAAACGGG
rnacentral:rRNA from 1 species